CUAUUUAAUUAGGGGCUUUUGAAAGCUUGCAAUCCAAAUCUUUUAUAUUAUACACUAUAAACAUUACAAUGAAUGAAUCAUAAUAACAAUAUAUAUAAUAUACAACUUUCAGCAACGGAUCUCUUGGCUCUCGCAUCGAUGAAGAACGCAGCGAAAUGCGAUAAGUAAUGUGAAUUGCAGAAUUCAGUGAAUCAUCGAAUCUUUGAAUGCACCUUGCACCUCUUGGUAUUCUGAGAGGUACACCUGUUUGAGUAUCAUUAAUUCUAUCCACUUUUAGUUAAAAGGGUUGGGACUUGGGAGAUUUACUUGCAGAGUUGAAUAUCUGCUCUCCUUGAAUGUAUUAGCAGGGAUUUUAUUAGUCCUUGGAUUGAUUGUGAUA
rnacentral:misc_RNA from 1 species